CAACAUUGAAGCCCUUGAUCACAUUCUACCCCAUGUGUGUGUAUCUGGGGUAUAUUUUUUGUGAGACCCGGUUCCAUCCCUGGGUCAGGAAGAUCCCCUGAAGAACGGAAUGGCAUCCCGCUCCUGAAUUCUUGCAUGGAGAAUUCCACGGACAGAGGAUCCAGGAGGUGACAGCACCCAGAAGGAAAUGCCCAGUUUAGGGGAGAUCAAGAAAACAUCACGAAGAGCGCAUUGCAUUUCCCAGGCUGUUUCCCAUGGCUGAGUUCUGGCCCGAGGAAUGUGACCGCAUCUGUGCCUGGCGCAGCACACCGUGAGUGCCAUUCUCUGAGGGCUCUCUCUUCCGGUCCCUGUUGGCUGUAUGCGGAGAAUCCAACAGAGGACCCUGAGGCCCUAGAAGAUGACAGAGCUGUGCAAUAGAAGCCUGACCACCUGGAGUAGUGCUCUGCCCCUGACCCUGGCUACGCUGCACUGUGACGUGAACAAAAAAUAAGCAUUUUUGUUAAUAAACCAUUUUUGUUGAUGGUUUUGUUAAGCCAUUGAGAUCCGGAGUUUGUUAUGUUGCCUAGCUUACUCAUUCAUACUCAUGUUUAGAUGUACUCAAGCUCACCGGAGAAAGGCAAAAAAUAUAGGUAUUUAUAU
ensembl:lncRNA